AGGAUGAACGCUGGCGGCGUGCCUAACACAUGCAAGUCGAACGUCCUGUCUCGCAAGAGGCAGGGAGUGGCGGACGGGUGAGUACCACGUGGGUCAUCUACCGUGAGGUGAGGAAUACCGGCGAGAAAUCGCCGACAAGACCGCAUAGCCUCGGUGCAAGUCGAGGAAAGCUCUCUCGAGAGAGGGAGCGCCACACGAGGAGCCUGCGCCCGAUUAGCUAGCUGGUGGAGUAAUGGUUCACCAGGGCGACGAUCGGUAGCUGGUCUGAGAGGACGAUCAGCCACACUGGGAUUGAGAACGGCCCAGACUCCUACGGGGGGCAGCAGUGAGGAAUUUUCCGCAAUGGGGGCAACCCUGACGGAGCAACGCCGCGUGCAGGAGGACGCUUUUCGGAGUGUAAACUGCUUUUCUCGAGGAAGAAACCGGACGGUACUCGAGGAAGAAGCCCGGCUAACUACGCGCCAGCAGCCGCGGU
rnacentral:rRNA from 1 species